rnacentral:lncRNA from 1 species
UAGGUUGUCGGAUGGUAGCUGGAAUACCUUCCUAAUCAUGCUAUAAGAUGACAGUCUUGUCAGCAAAACAAGGAGCUUAUCCUAUGAUGAUCGUCUUCUAUAGGAUAAAUGGAGCAGGACAGAUCAGAGAGGUUCAUAGACUCGAGUUUUUCUUCAUGGAAAUGGAAAUCUAUUUAUCUCACACUUAAUCCACAUCUUGAAUCCUAAGUGCAUGCCGCUGUGGAUGUCUUCGGCUUGUUUCUUCCUCGUUGCCUUUUGCUUUACUUCCACUUUGAUAUUUUCUUUUGGACUUUUCAUCUAUCUAAUCCCUAAUUGGAUCUCUUUCUAUUCAUGUUUUACCAAAAUUUCUUUGUUCCUGCCAUUUUUAUUAUAUCUUGAAUGGGCUAAGUUUACUCUUAUCUUUACUCAGGGAAAGGAAAAGAGAGCAAGAUGUGACACUGGAAGAACAAAGGAGAAUGAAGUAGUAGAUGCAAAUAAUUGCUGAGAGGCUCUUGGAGCUGCACCGGUGACAUGCUAACAGUUCCUGAUGGUUCGCACAAGGAUUCAUAUGUACCAGAGAAGAAUAACUUAGGAGGUCAGAACGUGUGCUAGCAUAAGAUAGUUGGUAUGGUGAUACUACCUCGCUGAUCCAGCAAGCGAGCCAACGACUUCAUAGUCGAUGCAUUCAUUCUGUUCGAUAUGGCCAGAACGAGAUUUGUUGGAUGUAUAAUUCGUCUCGGCACCAAAUUAAUAGCUCAAAUUAAACACAUAGAACCUGAUUAUAUGGUGAGAAAGGCCUUCGGCCUGACACCAUGUCGGAGUUUAAAUUGCUGCCGAUUCAUUUGUAAGUUUAGUACAUGAGAA